rnacentral:rRNA from 1 species
ACUGCUCAGUAACACGUGGACAACCUACCCUUGGGACGGGGAUAAACCCGGGAAACUGGGUAUAAUACCCGAUAGAUCUCGGAAGCUGGAAUGCAUCGAGAUCGAAAGCUCCGGUGCCCAAGGAUGGGUCUGCGGCCUAUCAGGUAGUAGUGGGUGUAGCGUACCUACUAGCCUACGACGGGUACGGGUUGUGAGAGCAAGAGCCCGGAGAUGGAUUCUGAGACACGAAUCCAGGCCCUACGGGGUGCAGCAGGCGCGAAAACUUUACAAUGCCGGCAACGGCGAUAAGGGGACCUCGAGUGCCAGGUUACAAAUCUGGCUGUCGUAAUGCCUAAAAAGCAUUUCAUAGCAAGGGCCGGGCAAGACCGGUGCCAGCCGCCGCGGUAACACCGGCGGCUCGAGUGGUAACCGUUAUUAUUGGGUCUAAAGGGUCUGUAGCCGGCCGGAUAAGUC